GACGAACGCUGGCGGCGUGCUUAACACAUGCAAGUCGAACGGAAAGGCCCUGCUUUUGUGGGGUGCUCGAGUGGCGAACGGGUGAGUAACACGUGAGUAACCUGCCCUUGACUUUGGGAUAACUUCAGGAAACUGGGGCUAAUACCGGAUAGGAGCUCCUGCUGCAUGGUGGGGGUUGGAAAGUUUCGGCGGUUGGGGAUGGACUCGCGGCUUAUCAGCUUGUUGGUGGGGUAGUGGCUUACCAAGGCUUUGACGGGUAGCCGGCCUGAGAGGGUGACCGGCCACAUUGGGACUGAGAUACGGCCCAGACGCCUACGGGAGGCAGCAGUGGGGAAUAUUGCACAAGGGGCGGAAGCCGGAUGCAGCAACGCCGCGUGCGGGAUGACGGCCUUCGGGUUGUAAACCGCUUUCGCCUGUGACGAAGCGUGAGUGACGGGAAUGGGUAAAGAAGCACCGGCUAACUACGU
rnacentral:rRNA from 1 species